CUUGGAUUGCCCAGCCCACACAACUGUGAGAAAUAAAGAAGGAAAACAAAAAGAUGCCUUAGUUCCAUGGAAGGCUGCUCUGAGGGAUAUUCUGCUAAGUGGCAUCCAGACAGAACACGGAGAAGCUCCUCGAUUGCGUCUCUCCCCUGCCUUAUUGUUUCCUGCUGCCCUUGACACUCCACUGUUUGGGCUAUUGCAAGGUUAGAAGGAUGCUCACGACCAACGAGACAGAGUCCUUUGCAUAUGGCCUUGAGGAUGUGUGCUUCUGAAAUCUAACAAAGUUUCGCUCUUGUUGCACAGGCUGGAGUGCAAUGGCACGAUCUUGGCUCACCUCCUCCUCUGCGUCCUGUGUUCAAGCGAUUCUCCUGCCUCUCCUGGGAUUACGGGCAUGUGCCACCAUGCCCGGCCAAUUUUGAACACAGACAGCCUGCGUCCAGAAUCCCUGCUCUUUCCCUGUAUACCACAUGGCCUCCUGUGCACGAUCCAGAGGAGACAUCCAGGUGUUGGAUACAUGGGCCCGGGGUGCAGCAGAAAAGCAUUGCCCCAGUGCACAGCCAUAUCCAUAUGCCGUUGGCGCAUGGAUUGGAACAAAACCAUGGAACUCGAUGAAGUUCCCUAUCAGAGACAAGCUCAAACUACACACAAUGAAUACAUCACGGACUUCUC
rnacentral:lncRNA from 1 species